AUGAACGCUGGCGGCGUGCCUAAUACAUGCAAGUCGAGCGAACAGACGAGGAGCUUGCUCCUCUGACGUUAGCGGCGGACGGGUGAGUAACACGUGGAUAACCUACCUAUAAGACUGGGAUAACUUCGGGAAACCGGAGCUAAUACCGGAUAAUAUAUUGAACCGCAUGGUUCAAUAGUGAAAGACGGUUUUGCUGUCACUUAUAGAUGGAUCCGCGCCGCAUUAGCUAGUUGGUAAGGUAACGGCUUACCAAGGCGACGAUGCGUAGCCGACCUGAGAGGGUGAUCGGCCACACUGGAACUGAGACACGGUCCAGACUCCUACGGGAGGCAGCAGUAGGGAAUCUUCCGCAAUGGGCGAAAGCCUGUCGGAGCAACGCCGCGUGAGUGAUGAAGGUCUUCGGAUCGUAAAACUCUGUUAUUAGGGAAGAACAAAUGUGUAAGUAACUAUGCACGUCUUGACGGUACCUAAUCAGAAAGCCACGGCUAACUACGUG
rnacentral:rRNA from 1 species